rnacentral:rRNA from 1 species
GCUGGCGGCGUGCCUAACACAUGCAAGUCGAACGAGAAAGUGGAGCAAUCCAUGAGUACAGUGGCGACCGGGUGAGUAACACGUGACCAACCUACCCUCGAGUGGGGAAUAACUCCGGGAAACCGGAGCUAAUACCGCAUAACAUCGCAAGAUCAAAGCCGCAAGGCGCUUGAGGAGGGGGUCGCGGCUGAUUAGCUAGUUGGUAGGGUAACGGCCUACCAAGGCGAAGAUCGGUAGCCGGCCUGAGAGGGCGCACGGCCACACUGGAACUGAAACACGGUCCAGACUCCUACGGGAGGCAGCAGUGGGGAAUUUUGCGCAAUGGGGGAAACCCUGACGCAGCAACGCCGCGUGGAGGAUGAAGUCCCUUGGGACGUAAACUCCUUUCGACCGGGACGAUACUGACGGUACCGGAAGAAGAAGCACCGGCUAACUCUGUGCCAGCAGCCGCGGUAAUACAGAGGGUGCGAGCGUUGUUCGGAAUUAUUGGGCGUAAAGGGCGCGUANGCGGCGCGGUAAGUCACCUGUGAAAUCUCCUGGCUCAACUGGGAGCUUGCAGGCGAAACUGCCGUGCUGGAGUGUGGGAGAGGUGCGUGGAAUUCCCGGUGUA